rnacentral:tRNA from 1 species
GGGGUUGUAGCUCAGCGGAUAGAGCAGCAUCAUGACGAAGUUCGGGUCGCGGGUUCAAAUCCCGCCAACCCUG